CCUACGGGAGGCAGCAGUAGGGAAUUUUCGUCAAUGGGCGCAAGCCUGAACGAGCAAUGCCGCGUGAACGAGGAAGGUCUUCGGAUCGUAAAGUUCUGUUGAAGGGGAAAAAGCGCGGAGAGAGGAAAUGAACUCCGAUUGAUAUUACCCUUCGAGGAAGUCACGGCUAACUACGUGCCAGCAGCCGCGGUAAGACGUAGGUGGCGAGCGUUAUCCGGAUUGAUUGGGCGUAAAGGGUGCGUAGGCGGCCUGCUAAGUCUGGGGUGAAAGGUACCGGCUCAACCGGUACAGGCUCUGGAAACUGGCGGGCUAGAGAGCAGGAGAGGGCGGUGGAAUUCCAUGUGUAGCGGUAAAAUGCGUAGAUAUAGGGAAGAACACCAGUGGCGAAGGCGGCCGCCUGGCCUGUUACUGACGCUGAGGCACGAAAGCGUGGGGAGCAAAUAGGAUUAGAUACCCUAGUAGUC
rnacentral:rRNA from 1 species